UUGAACGCUGGCGGCAGGCCUAACACAUGCAAGUCGAGCGGAUGAAGGGAGCUUGCUCCUGGAUUCAGCGGCGGACGGGUGAGUAAUGCCUAGGAAUCUGCCUGGUAGUGGGGGAUAACGUCCGGAAACGGGCGCUAAUACCGCAUACGUCCUGAGGGAGAAAGUGGGGGAUCUUCGGACCUCACGCUAUCAGAUGAGCCUAGGUCGGAUUAGCUAGUUGGUGGGGUAAAGGCCUACCAAGGCGACGAUCCGUAACUGGUCUGAGAGGAUGAUCAGUCACACUGGAACUGAGACACGGUCCAGACUCCUACGGGAGGCAGCAGUGGGGAAUAUUGGACAAUGGGCGAAAGCCUGAUCCAGCCAUGCCGCGUGUGUGAAGAAGGUCUUCGGAUUGUAAAGCACUUUAAGUUGGGAGGAAGGGCAGUAAGAUAAUACCUUGCUGUUUUGACGUUACCAACAGAAUAAGCACCGGCUAACUUCGUG
rnacentral:rRNA from 1 species